UCUAUUGUUCUUUCAUCUCUAUCUCUUCUUAAUUUCUCUCCUUCUCUCUCUUCUUCACGUACUUUCUCAUCUAGUAAACAACAGAUAAGAAAAAGAAUUAGAGAGACGGAGAAAGAAGCUAUGACACGUAAUACAAAUAUAUCAAAAUAUUCUAUACAAGAAAGAGAGAGAG
rnacentral:ribozyme from 1 species